ACGUGAGAAUCUGCCCUUAGGAGAAGAAUAACUGCUGGAAACGGCUGCUAACUCUUCAUAUGCCGAGAGGUGAAAUAAUUUCGAUUGCCUAAGGAUGAGCUCACGCCUGAUUAGCUAGUUGGUAAGGUAAUGGCUUACCAAGGCCACGAUCAGUAGCUGGUUUGAGAGAACGAUCAGCCACACUGGGACUGAGACACGGCCCAGACUCCUCCGGGAGGCAGCAGUGAGGAAUUUUCCGCAAUGGGCGAAAGCCUGACGGAGCAAUACCGCGUGAGGGAUGAAGGAUUUUGGUCUGUAAAC
rnacentral:rRNA from 1 species